rnacentral:rRNA from 1 species
GUGCAGCAGGCGAGAAACCUCCGCAAUACACGAAAGUGUGACGGGGUUACCCAAAGUGUCCAAAUUUGGACUGUGGUAGGUGAGUAAUGUCCCCUACUAGAAAGGAGAGGGCAAGGCUGGUGCCAGCCGCCGCGGUAAAACCAGCUCUUCAAGUGGUCGGGAUAAUUAUUGGGCUUAAAGUGUCCGUAGCCGGUUUAGUAAGUUCCUGGUAAAAUCGGGUAGCUUAACUAUCUGUAUGCUAGGAAUACUGCUAUACUAGAGGGCGGGAGAGGUCUGAGGUACUACAGGGGUAGGGUGAAAUCCUGUAAUCCUUGUAGGACCACCAGUGGCGAAGGCGUCAGACUGGAACGCGCCUGACGGUGAGGGACGAAAGCCAGGGGAGCGAACCGGAUUAGAUA